GGUCAAGCUACAAAAGCUCACUGCUU
rnacentral:rRNA from 1 species